UGGGGAAUUUUGGACAAUGGGCGAAAGCCUGAUCCAGCAAUGCCGCGUGUGUGAAGAAGGCCUUCGGGUUGUAAAGCACUUUUGUCCGGAAAGAAAUCCUUGGCUCUAAUACAGUCGGGGGAUGACGGUACCGGAAGAAUAAGCACCGGCUAACUACGUGCCAGCAGCCGCGGUAAUACGUAGGGUGCAAGCGUUAAUCGGAAUUACUGGGCGUAAAGCGUGCGCAGGCGGUUUGCUAAGACCGAUGUGAAAUCCCCGGGCUCAACCUGGGAACUGCAUUGGUGACUGGCAGGCUAGAGUAUGGCAGAGGGGGGUAGAAUUCCACGUGUAGCAGUGAAAUGCGUAGAGAUGUGGAGGAAUACCGAUGGCGAAGGCAGCCCCCUGGGCCAAUACUGACGCUCAUGCACGAAAGCGUGGGGAGCAAACAGGAUUAGAUACCCUGGUAGUCCACGCCCUAAACAAUGUCAACUAGUUGUUGGGGAUUCAUUUCCUUAGUAACGUGCUAACGCGUGAAGUUGACCGCCUGGGGAGUACGGUCGCAAGAUUAAAACUCAAAUGAAUUGACGGGGUCAUAGCUGUUUCCU
rnacentral:rRNA from 1 species